GGAGUUGUUAUACAGAAGUUCUUCGGGAUGGAAGUAUAAGAACUUAGUGGCGGACGGGUGAGUAACGCGUGGGUAACCUGCCCUUUUGUGGGGAACAACUUCGAGAAAUCGGAGCUAAUACCGCAUAAUAAUAGAGAAUCGCAUGAUUUUCUAAGGAAAGAUGGCCUCUGAAGAUGCUAUCGCAAAAGGAUGGACCCGCGUCUGAUUAGCUAGUUGGAAGGGUAACGGCCUACCAAGGCAACGAUCAGUAGCCGGCCUGAGAGGGUGAACGGCCACAUUGGGACUGAGACACGGCCCAAACUCCUACGGGAGGCAGCAGUGGGGAAUCUUCCGCAAUGGGCGAAAGCCUGACGGAGCAAUGCCGCGUGAGUGAAGAAGGCCUUCGGGUUGUAAAACUCUGUCCUUAUCGAAGAGAGGUGGGUAUGUGAAUAAUGUACUCAUAGGACGGUAGAUAAGGAGGAAGCCCCGGCUAACUACGUGCCAGCAGCCGCGGUAAUACGUAGGGGGCGAGCGUUGUCCGGAAUCACUGGGCGUAAAGGGCGCGUAGGCGGUUUAAUAAGUCAGUGGUGAAAACUGAGGGCUCAACCCUCAGCCUGCCACUGAUACUGUUAGACUUGAGUAUGGAAGAGGAGAAUGGAAUUCCUAGUGUAGCGGUGAAAUGCGUAGAUAUUAGGAGGAACACCAGUGGCGAAGGCGAUUCUCUGGGCCAAGACUGACGCUGAAGCGCGAAAGCGUGGGGAGCAAACAGGAUUAGAUACCCUGGUAGU
rnacentral:rRNA from 1 species